GAAAGAAACUGGUAUGAGGUUCUAGAUCUUUCCAUGUCUGAGGAGGUGGGCAAGGCACAGGUAUGAGGUUCUGGGUCUACCAGUGUCUGAGGAAGUGGGCAAGGCACAGGUAUGAGGUUCUGGAUCUUCCCAUGUUCGAGGAGGUGGGCAAGGCAUAGGUAGGAGGGUCUGCCAGUGUCUGAGGAGGUCAGCAAGGCACAGGUAUGAGGUUCUGGGUCUGCCUGUGUCUCAAGAAGUAGGUAAGGGACAGGUUCUGAAUCUUUCCAUAUGUGAGGAGGUGGGUAAGGCACAGAUAUGAGGUUCUGGGUCUGCUAGUAUCUAAGGAAGUGGGUAAGGGACAGGUAUGAGGUUCUGGGUCUGCUAGUAUCUAAGGAGGGAGGCAAAGCACAGGUGUGAGGUUCUGGAUCUUUCCGUGUCUGAGGAGGUGGGCAAGGAACAGGUAUGAGGAUCUGGAUCUUUCCAUGUCUGAGGAGGUGGGCAAGGCCCAGGUAUGAAGUUCUGAGUCUGCCAGUGUCUGAGGAGGUGGGCAAGAAACAGGUAUGAGGUUCUGGAUCUUUCUGUGUCUGAGGAGGUGGGCAAGGCACAGGUAUGAGGUUCUGAGUCUGCCAGUGUCUGAGGAAGUGGGUAAGGCACAGGUAUGAGGUUCUGGGUCUUUCAGUGUCUGAGGAGGUGGACAAGGCACAGGUAUGAGGUUCUGAGUCUGCCAGUGUCUGAGGAGGUGGGCAAGGCACAGGUAGGAGGUUCUGGAUCUUUCUAUGUCUGA